rnacentral:rRNA from 1 species
CCUACGGGAGACAGCAGUGAGGAAUAUUGGUCAAUGGACGAGAGUCUGAACCAGCCAAGUAGCGUGAAGGAUGACUGCCCUAUGGGUUGUAAACUUCUUUUAUAUGGGAAUAAAACGUUCCACGUGUGGGAUUUUGUAUGUACCAUAUGAAUAAGGAUCGGCUAACUCCGUGCCAGCAGCCGCGGUAAUACGGAGGAUCCGAGCGUUAUCCGGAUUUAUUGGGUUUAAAGGGAGCGUAGGUGGAUUGUUAAGUCAGUUGUGAAAGUUUGCGGCUCAACCGUAAAAUUGCAGUUGAAACUGGCAGUCUUGAGUACAGUAGAGGUGGGCGGAACUCGUGGUGUAGCGGUGAAAUGCUUAGAUAUCACGAAGAACUCCGAUUGCGAAGGCAGUUCACUGGACUGCAACUGACACUGAGGCUCGAAAGUGUGGGUAUCAAACAGGAUUAGAUACCCUGGUAGUC